GUCAGGAUGGCCGAGCGGUCUAAGGCGCUGCGUUCAGGUCGCAGUCUCCCCUGGAAGUGUGGAUUCGAAUCCCACUCCUGACA
rnacentral:tRNA from 1 species